AAUUUUUAAGAGAGAGAGAGAGACUUUUCUCUCUAGUUUAAGGGGUUCUUUGAACCUCGGUCUCUCGUUCUAUGGUUAUGAGGAGUCUGGGUUUCUUCCUUCCCGCCUUUGGGCGGGGCUGUACAUAGUCCUUUUGAAGUUUUUUUUGUGUCGCAGGUGUCGAGCUUCAUGGAGAAAGAGAACUUUGAGCCUGUGGUGGAUGGUGGUAACUAAAGAGUCUAUAAACCGGCAUAACCCACUAAUGGUUGACCCUUCAAGCUAUAGGAAACAGAUGCCGUGAGCUCGCUCCAUCACCCUCUGCUUGGUUAUAUAUAUAUAUAUAAACAAAUUUUAGAAACAUGCAUUAUAAAUAUUUGUGAAAAAUCUUAUUUAUCAUAUUCACCUUUAAUUGGCUG
rnacentral:misc_RNA from 1 species